UAUAAACUCCCUCCGUCCGGAAAUACUUGUCAUCAAAAUGGAUAAAAGGGAUGUAUCUAGAUGUAUUUUAGUUUUAGAUACAUCCCUUUUUGCCCAUUUUGAUGACAAGUAUUUUCGGACGGAGGAAGUAUAAU
rfam:Triticum aestivum genome assembly, contig: Triticum_aestivum_CS42_TGACv1_scaffold_288300_4AL